UUAUAAAAAUAAGUAAAAAUUAAUAAAAUUAAUAGCAUUCAAAUACAUACUAAUGUCUAUAAAAAAAAAUUUUUUCGUUAAACGCAGUUUCACUGGGGUUGCUUCUAAGUCCAAUUGCACCCUUAAAAGUGCACUGAAUAAUGAAAUAAUUCAAAUCCAUAUUGUUUCUUUGCAAUUGAUCAAGUGAAUAUAAGAAACCAAUACUUUGACAUAAACAUUGCAAAUAAAGAUGAAGAAAUUAUUAAAGAAAGCAAACAAACCAUUUUAUUUUUAAUUUCCUUUUUUGGGGGGCGGAUAAAUAUAAACAACCCAUUUUAACUAUACAAAGGCUGCUUGCUAUAUAUACAAGUUCAAGCAUGAUCCGGCAAGAUCGAUCACCCCAACCUGACUGCAGGCGAAACAUAACAAACAUAGUCAUACGAUUAAUACAAGGCUAAUUGCAAGUUCAAAGGAAUCCUCCGAUUGAUGUUACAGUAUGAUAAUUCCAGUUAACCUUUUUUCUGGUCACAACUCUCUACUUCUUUUCUCCCAUGCUCCAAUGUUGAUGCAUGAUUCGGAUGUAUCUUCUUGAACAGUGAUGAAAAACAACCACUAGAUUUUUUCACUGCAAAUCUGUCUUUGCUCUUAUCUUCUUCCUUUCUCUUCAUUUGAUCUUUAUGGAGCUUCCGCAUCACGUAAACUUCAGCAAGUUCGUAUCCAGGAGUUGCCAUGGCCUAGAGGCUCAGAUUUAUGCAAAUGAUGAGAUUGAGAGGGCAAGUAAUUUAUAGCGGUUUGUAUCAGCUUGGGAAUCAAGCAAGCACAAAAUCAGGAGCUGACUACUAGCAUAAAUAUUUCUUCUUUUUGCUGACUAUUUCAUGGCGG
rnacentral:lncRNA from 1 species